CCAAUAGCGUAUAUUAAAGUUGUUGCAGUUAAAAAGCUCGUAGUUGAAUUUCGGGAUCAGUACGUUGGUCAUGCCUUGGUAUGUACUGGUGUCACUGAUUCCUCCCUUCUGAAGAACCGUUAUGCCAUUAAUUUGGUGUGGCGGGGAAUCAGGACUGUUACUUUGAAAAAAUUAGAGUGUUUAAAGCAGGCUCGCGCUUGAAUACAUUAGCAUGGAAUAAUGAAAUAGGACGUUAAUCCUAUUUUGUUGGUUUCUAGGAUCGACGUAAUGAUUAAUAGGGAUAGUUGGGGGCAUUAGUAUUCAAUUGUCAGAGGUGAAAUUCUUGGAUUUAUUGAAGACUAACUACUGCGAAAGCAUUUGCCAAGGAUGUUUUCAUUAAUCAAGAACGAAAGUUAGGGGAUCGAAGACGAUCAGAUACCGUCGUAGUCUUAACCAUAAACUAUGCCGACUAGGGAUCGGAUGAUGUUAAUUUUUUAAUGACUCAUUCGGCGCCUUACG
rnacentral:rRNA from 1 species